AUCUAUGGCUAUAUCACUCUGAAUGUGCCUGAUUGCACCUGAUCUUGGAAGGUAAGCAGGGUUGGGCCUGGUUAGUACGUGGAUGGGAGACUGCUUGGGAAUACUGGAAGCUAUGGGCU
rnacentral:rRNA from 1 species